UCUACUGCCCUUAUUGUGGUUAUCCGCACACAUUUUUCCUGUGCAAUGAAGGAUUUUCUCCAAUAUUUUGGGGAAGCCUACACCAAGUUUCAUUUUAAUCUCCAAAUAAUUGAUAACUGUAGAUCAUCUGGCAACCUGUCUGAUCGUCUGACCUCUCGCCCUUUAGGAAUGCCAGAUCUCAGCAAUUACUCUGGGAUCAGGAGCUUUUCACUGGCCUCAGUCCAGUCUGAGCUUCUUUCAUUCAGUAUCAACACUUCAAGUGAAACAAGACUCACCCGUCCGUGAUAUUUGCACACUUGCAUACUAGAGUUUCAACGACUUUGGGAACUGGCAGAAGCCUCUUUUCUUUAGGCACCUGGAAGGAAGAAAAGGUGGACAUGAGUAUUGUUUUUUUUCUCUGAAGGACAAAACAGACAACGGCUCUGCUGAAUCAUUAUAGCUGUAAAGACUUAUUUGAAGCAUUCCUCAAGGUUUUCUGUUGGACAUGCAAGAAACAUCCAAAUAUGUUAAGCAUCCAAACUUUUACAGCUCUUACUUAAAAGUCCAGGAAAUCUCAGAACACGCUUUCCUUAAAGUAAAAAUGAAGCUGUAGAAAAUGUCUUUGAAAACCCCAUUUCCCUUUUAGUCUGACCACCACUCCAACACCCGAAACAUAUUCAGUUUAUUAUCACAUUCAAGACAAAGAAAAGCAACGAAUUC